rnacentral:misc_RNA from 1 species
CCAAUAGCGUAUAUUAAAGUUGUUGCAGUUAAAAAGCUCGUAGUUGAAUUUCGGGAUCAAUUUAUUGGUCGUGCUAUUGUACGUACUGGUAUUAUUGAUUCCUACCUUCUGACGAACCAUGAUGUCAUUAAUUUGGUGUCUUGGGGAAUCAGGACUGUUACUUUGAAAAAAUUAGAGUGUUUAAAGCAGGCUCACGCUUGAAUACAUUAGCAUGGAAUAACGAAAUAGGACGUUUGAUUCUAUUUUGUUGGUUUCUAGGAUCGACGUAAUGAUUAAUAGGGAUAGUUGGGGGCAUUAGUAUUCAAUUGUCAGAGGUGAAAUUCUUGGAUUUAUUGAAGACUAACUACUGCGAAAGCAUUUGCCAAGGAUGUUUUCAUUAAUCAAGAACGAAAGUUAGGGGAUCGAAGACGAUCAGAUACCGUCGUAGUCUUAACCAUAAACUAUGCCGACUAGGGAUCGGAUGAUGUUAAUUUUUUAAUGACUCAUUCGGCGCCUUAC